rnacentral:tRNA from 1 species
UUUAAUAUGGCAGAUUAGUGCAAUGAACUUAAACUUCAUACAUAAAGAAACUAACCAUCUUUUAUUAAAA